rnacentral:rRNA from 1 species
GCGGCGUGCUUAAUGCGUUACUUCAGCACUAAAGGGCGGAAACCCUCUAACACUUAGCACUCAUCGUUUACGGCGUGGACUACCAGGGUAUCUAAUCCUGUUUGCUCCCCACGCUUUCGCGCCUCAGUGUCAGUUACAGACCAGAAAGUCGCCUUCGCCACUGGUGUUCCUCCAUAUCUCUACGCAUUUCACCGCUACACAUGGAAUUCCACUUUCCUCUUCUGCACUCAAGUCUCCCAGUUUCCAAUGACCCUCCACGGUUGAGCCGUGGGCUUUCACAUCAGACUUAAGAAACCACCUGCGCGCGCUUUACGCCCAAUAAUUCCGGAUAACGCUUGCCACCUACGUAUUACCGCGGCUGCUGGCACGUAGUUAGCCGUGGCUUUCUGGUUAGGUACCGUCAAGGUGCCAGCUUAUUCAACUAGCACUUGUUCUUCCCUAACAACAGAGUUUUACGACCCGAAAGCCUUCAUCACUCACGCGGCGUUGCUCCGUCAGACUUUCGUCCAUUGCGGAAGAUUCCCUACUGCUGCCUCCCGUAGAGUCUGGGCCGUGUCUCAGUCCCAGUGUGGCCGAUCACCCUCUCAGGUCGGCUACGCAUCGUUGCCUUGGUGAGCCGUUACCUCACCAACUAGCUAAUGCGACG